rfam:Rattus norvegicus chromosome 17, whole genome shotgun sequence.
GGGGAUUUAGCUCAGUGGUAGGGCGCUUGCCUAGCAAGCACAAGGUCCUGGGUUCGGUCCCCAGCUCCG